ensembl:lncRNA
UUUCAGUGUUUUACGACCCCUACCAAUGUGUACAUUUGUGGUUUAAGUGAAUCUUUGUUUCUGAAAUUACUUUUGUGGCAAAGAGCACGAUGGCAUGGAAAGAGUAUACAAGAGUAAUCGGGGUGAUCUAAUGCUUAGGAGUUCUACAGUACUUCGACUUGGGAAGAUUCAACAAUACCCUCAGAGAGAGAGGCAUUAUCUAAGUUUCAUCACAAGAUUCAGACGUGGAUAAAUUUCAACAUGGAAGGAAAAGUGAGGCGCUAACUUAUUUUGACCCAGGUACAGCUUAUUUGAAGCAAAGAAAAACCCCAACAAGGGAACUACUGAAACAACACCAUGAACACUCCUAGAUUUCACCUGUUUUUAAUAAGGAUAAUGAAUUGUUGCAAUUCCUGCUUGAGCUUUGAAAGAUCAAGAGCAGCGUUAUCAACAUGGCCUUGAGAACACAAGUCAUCCACCAGUAUUGAAGGCCAUCUCAGUGCUGGGGAGGGCCGCCAGCUGUAUCUACUGGCAUUAGGGAGGAUCAAGGGCAGGAUUGACAAAUUCUACAUGGUUGUGGAUAAGCACCUCAUCCUUUGCACAGGAACCAGCUCCUUGAGUGCUACAGAUGAACUCUUCAAAGUCCACUAUGUGUUCAACCUGUCGUAUGAUCCUGACCAACAAUAACAAGUGGGUAUCUUUCUUUUCUGCAUUAUGGAAACUUUUUUUGCAACCAGCUUCCUUUCCCACGGUAGGUAUAUCUCUAGGCUCCUCCUACAUUUGCAUUAACUUUGCACAACAGUACUGUGUUACUUUGGCAUGGUAUAAUAUGCAGCUCACAUCGUGCUUGGAAGAUUUCCACAAGAGCAUCUGUGAACAUGGCAAAACUCAAUCCAUGGGCCAAGAUGAUCUUCAUCUUCCUUAACAUUAUUAUUGCGAUCUCUGGGAUUGUUGUUUUCACCUUGGGUCUGUUCCUGAAACAAGAGCAUGAUCUUAUCGAACAUACAGUAAAAAUUUGCUUUGCAACUGGUUCUGCAAUGUGCCUUGCCGCUGUCUUUGGAGUUUAUGGUGCUUACAAAGAGAACAUAUCUGCACUGUCUGGGUUUGUCUUCCUGAAGACUCUGGGAAUUGGUGGCCUGAUUCGUAUUGCCUUUAUAAUAUCAGUCCCUCACUUGAAGAUUUUCGAAGACCACAUCAACAAGAGAUAUCCUUUACAAACUUCAGAAGAUCUGUACAAUAUCAUCAUGAGAGUGCUUUACUGCAUCAUAUUUCUCACUUGUCUGGCGGAUACAAUGUCUGUUGCGAUGAUCAAACAACUCAGAGGUGGUGUAUGUGGAUGAAACUUUUGUUAGAUUUUUUUUAUGCUAGUAUUUCGUACUUUGUAGGGCAGUGUGUCUGUAGGACUGGAGUGGAUUUAUGAUAAAUUGCUUUAUGAUAUAUUUGACAAUGCUUUGAUUUUCUCUUAUGUAAACACACACAAUAUACAUACUGUGUGUGUGUGUGUGUAUAUACAUAUAUAUAUAUAUAUAUAUAUAUAUAUAUAUAUAUAUAUAUAUAUAUACACACACACACAUAUAUAAUCUUCUGUAUAUAAUAUCUAAGCUGCUCUAAGGCGUUGGAAUUUAAAAUGCGCACUUCCUGAUCUUCAGAUGUGCUCAUGAUUCACAAUUUGGUAUGUUUAGUGUUCUGUUGUAUUUCUUAGUUUGUGCUACAAUAAAUCCUGGUCGCAUAACUGAGUGAAGAUGUGGCAAACUUUAUUAUAUAACCAGAAGAUUAAUCUCUCAUCACUGAUUCUAGCUAAUGGUGAAAUUAACAAGAAAUUAUGGAUGAAUUGUCUGUACUUUACCAGAAACAAGAGAGUGUAAGAAUGCACUAUUUUUAUAUAGUGUAUCAUAUGUUGACUACAGUGAUUUAUUUUUUCUAUUUUUUAAGACACAUUCAAGUUAUGCACAAGUCCUCAGUGUAUCCAGAUCUUUAAACCUGUGCAUGUGUUUAACCCUUUCUUGCAAUACACUGGGUGACAGACAUCAAUAGUCAAAAUGUUCUUGAGAUUUUUUUAUGUAGAGGAAAUAUAGGAAACAUAUUGCUGUUCAGCAAGGCAAGCUGUCAUUGACUUCUGUCAGUGCUUUAAAAACAAUGCCCAUUUAUUCUAAAGUUCGCAUAUUUAGAGAAUUGUUGAUGUAUUUUUGUAUGUUUACUUAAGCUUUCUUGAAUAAACUAUAUUGAUCAC